AGAAGACGAAGGCCGCUACCCGGCCGGUGCGUGAAUAAAAGACGAUCGAGUCAGUUCUCGAAGUUGUUCCAGCCUGAACGGUCACACGCCUCGCUCAUUCCACAGUGGUGACCCGAACGUGAUGCAAGGGUCAUCUGAUGCACAACCCCCAACCUCUGCGGACCAUCGAGCGGCUCGUCGUCCGUAUUUUUUCAGUUCCCGAGUUUCGGCACCAAUGUAGAGGAAUCAAGGACGUCAGUACAUCCCGAAGUACGUCUAAUGGAAAGGCAGUAAGGAUGAUGAGCGGAGCGAAACCACGUGAUGUUCACCGCUGGGACAUGUCUUCGUUAACGAUGAAAGAUUGCAGACUGAAAGGGGCCGAAAUGGCAGACACCGAGCGACCAGAAUCAAUAAAAGGCAUGACGAGCACGACGCAACAUCCAGAAGAAAUGGUCCCGGCUGCGAGGGCGGA